rnacentral:lncRNA from 1 species
CCAGCCUAUGCGGCCCGGCCCGGCCCGGCCUCCGAUCGGGCCCGCUCCCCCGCCCGCGCCCCGCCCGCACCGAGCACCCGAAGCGCGGGAGCGCGCGCGCCCUACGGGCCGCACCAUCGUACAGGCCGCUGGGGGAGGAGCUCCCGGGAGCAAUCCAGACGCUGGCGCCAAGAAGAGCCUCUCCUACAGCCUGCGGCCCCAAAGGACACAGACACCAGCGCACCCUGCUCCGCAGACGUACAGCCGGAUGCCAUUUCCCUCCUAUGAGCCUGCCGCGGGCACGGGGAAUCCGGCUCCCCCCGCGGGCCGCACUGAGCUCGUCCGGGGGCGGGGGCGGACGGCCCCUACCGUCACCCCACGCGGCCUCGGUCUGCGCAGGCGCGCAGAGGGGGUGGACUCUUGGCCGGGGCGACGGCUACGGCGACUUGGUGGAGCGAGUGUCGCGACGUCCUGCCGCCGAGCGAGGAGCGCCUCCUGGGCCUGCCCAACCACGGCUUUGGGCCACGGGUGUGCGUCCACUCGCCGAGACACCUGACGACCGCGGCCGAGGGGGAAGGCAGCGCAGACGGGGCGCUCCCCGGUGUCGCUGGGCUGCGGGGGUCGGGACAGGGUCCAGAAGCCUUUGAUGCAAAUGUUAGCCGGCCGGUCAAAGCGAAGACGACGCCUUUGCAGUCCUCCGUGACACCGCGAUGCGAUAGCUCCGUCACGUUGAGGCUCAAGCUGGCCUGUGUCCUGUUACUGGAGUUCGUGGUGAAAAGCGGCCCUGGAGGGUCUCCCUAUUCGGUUCAGACUGGCUUUGAACUUGCCUCCAUCUUCCUUCCUCGGCCUCCCAACUGCUGGGAUUACAAGCAUGCGCCACCAUGCCUGGUGGCUUUUUACAUUGGAGCCGCCUGAAACCCUUUUCUAAGCCUAGCAAAUUUCUUUUACAAAUGAUAGAAACAUUGACUGCUGGCCUGAAUGAAUAACCAAGAAUUUGUCAUCCGUUUUUUGUUUUUGUGACAUUGCUCUGUAGUCAGGAAAUCUUUGAAUGCCCAAGAAUAUACUGAAAACGCCAGCGUGAUAAAUUGUAUUUCCAAAUACACAACUGUCUUCGUUGGCCUGUGUGGAACUUUAGUAUCUGUUUGCUGCCUACUUAAACGCAGACUGAACAGGUUAUUUUGUUAAAACGCUUGACCUCAACCUGGUGUCUUAUUUUCUAAGUGAAGAAUAUAAUCAGUAAAAUUCAGCAGGACCAGUUUACCUUACUUCAAGUUCUGGUAGUAAAGCAAGUCGAGGACCUAAGAAACCUGCACAAUUAAAAUCCAUUCAAGCUAUGAGGCAGAAAUCACACAAAAAAUGGUUCGGUGUCUAAGCCAAAUUUUACCUGAAAUCAACUUCAUUUGGAUAGUAGACGUUCUAAGGAAGUCUAAGAAAUGUCCUGAAGUCAUGAAGAAUGGUGGUUCAACUUUUAAAGAUAAGCAGUGAAACUCAGAAGAAAAUUAUUUUAAGUUCAUUUCUGUAAUAUAAAAUGUCCAUUACAAAAUUGCAGGGAAAAUGCCACGUUGAGAUUGCUGUGUUUUAUUCAUUGAUAAAUAGAUAAUUCUUUUAUCGCUGAUUUUUGUGACACUUAGAAGAUGACGCAGUUAAGGAAUGUCUUUGAACGAUGGAGGCAAAAACAUGAUAAAAUUCUCCUACUGAAGAAACCAAGGCUUCUCGUUGGUCCUGGUGCUCCCUGAGGCCCAGGCCAAGGGCAGAAGGUCCCCGAGGCCAGCUCUGCUCCCCUCACGUCUUUCAUCAUCGCAAGGGACAGCUGGGAACAGCGAGGGGCCCGUCCCCUCCUCCUGUCACACCACAGCUCUGAGGAAGUCACUGCUCGGCGAACCUCUCCGGCCUCACUUCCUGUCCUAAGGUGACCGGAGACCCAGCAAUGGGGCACAGGACCCCCUGUGCCCCCUGGCUUUCAGCCAUGGCACCGCUUCAGUCUGCUCGGCCAGUUGCUUUUGGUGCCCUGGCAGGGAUUAAAUAAAACGUG